GCACCGGUGGUGUAUCGGGUACACACUGAACUUAUAAUUAUGGUUGAGCGGUGGGACGGGGUUCGAUUCCCUGCCGGUGCC